rnacentral:rRNA from 1 species
UACGAAGGGGGCUAGCGUUGCUCGGAAUCACUGGGCGUAAAGCGCACGUAGGCGGCUUUCUAAGUCAGGGGUGAAAUCCUGGAGCUCAACUCCAGAACUGCCUUUGAUACUGGAGGGCUUGAGUCCGGAAGAGGUGAGUGGAACUCCGAGUGUAGAGGUGAAAUUCGUAGAUAUUCGGAAGAACACCAGUGGCGAAGGCGGCUCACUGGUCCGGUACUGACGCUGAUGUGCGAAAGCGUGGGGAGCAAACAGG